UGGAUUACAACCUGAAAUGUCCAGCAACUUUGUUGCUAAAAGUUUAGCUUCUCCCCUUGAUUUUUCAGAUUGUCCAGGAACCUCCUGAAGGUGUAGAUGGUGUUGGCUAUAUUGUUUUGCACUUUUGGAUGAUCAUCAUAAUUAGCCCAGUGACUUUAAUUGAUUGUAAUUUGUAAAGACAAUAUUCCGAAACUUCCCCUCAGCCUGGGGGUUAGCCCAUGGAGGAUGCCAAUUUCUUUUGAUUGAUAGCUCGUCGAUUCAACGUUUUGCCGAUUUCUAGACUGAACUAAGUCAAGAUGGUGGCCUGUCUAAUUUUUUUUUUUUUUUUUUUUUGUGGGUCCAAGGUCAACUUCUAUAUAUAUUAGUGGCCUGUCUAAGUAAUUUGUGCUUUUGAUUGCUGUUAACACUUUUAGCAACUGGAGAUCAAAUGACUCUUAGAUGACUUUAAGACUGGUUGGAGAUGGUUUAUUACAUGGGUUGAAGACUUGGGAGUUUUUACAUGUGUUGCAGGCUUUGAAGCCAAUUUUUUUCUCAAACAAGGAAAAAUGGUUGCAGAUUCUGAAAGCCGCUUUUAGAAGUUUCAUUGGCUUCCUUCUGCUACAAGUGCAUCUUUGAACUCAGGCUGAGUUUGGACUCUGCACCCCAAAAAAAAAAAAACUUUGGUCACUUCUGAUGCUGAGUUAAUCUUUCGGUCGGGGGAGAGCCCGAGUUGCAGACAUUUGGGCCUCACUCCACUGUCGUUGGCCUGGGCGCUUGAGACAAGCAAACUGCUUGAUACAAGUUAACAUUUUUCUUCCAGAAAAUGGUAUCAAAAGUUUUCCUGCUCCAAGGCUUGAUGGGGAACCAAUGUCCUGAGUAAUAGGGCUUGGAGGCCCCAUCUAGGAUGCUUUUACCGGAUCAGGAAAAUCUGCAUGAGACAUCCAGAAUUUUUCUAAUCUAAACGGUUUGACAGAUGGGUCUUGGUUCAGGGGAUCAAGCUUAAGCAAGCUCGGACAGUGAUCCCAAUGGAGUCUGGCUAAAUGAAUGAAUUGGGCAUCUGGGAAUCAAGUAACGCCAAUCUGGAUUACAAGAGACCCGGUCCAACAGUUCGUUUGUCACCACUACAAUCGAAUCAUGAUCCGGAUCAUUAUUCGCACAACUUUUGUCUUGGAUUGCAGAUUCCUGCUCUUGCGGCUCCAGCUAGUUGAACUGAAGCAUGUGUAUCGGGAAGCUAACGGAUGUGCUGAUGCUUUAGCAAAGUUGGGAUGCAAAUUGGAGAAGCCUUUUGUGAUUUUUGAAUCUUGUCCUCGAGAAAUUUCUUUUGCGUAUGAUGAGGACAACAGAGGGGUCUAGCAAAGUUGGGAUGCAAAUUGGACAUGCCUUUUGUGAUCUUUGAAUCUUGUCCUCGAGAAUUUUCUUUUGCGUGUGAUGAGGACAGCAGAGGGGUCUGUUUACCCCGUAGUAUUGGGUUGGAUUGUAAUAGUUAGGCAUCAUCUAUCGUACUUUCUAUUUCUUAUUAAUGCGGAUUUCAUGCUUUUUUUUUUUUUUACAAAAAAAAGGGGGGGGGGGGGGGGUUGUUGAAGGUUGCGUUAAAAGAAAGAAAGAAAAAGAAAAAAAUGAGGAGCUGAAGAUUGUACCUGUUGUAGGGCCGCGGUACGAGUUGGACGAGAAAAGAGAGUUAAUAGCAUUGAAAUGACAAUGCUUGCUUGACUGCUUGAGGAUGGACGGUAAAAACUUCAAAGUUCUCAAAAUAAACGGAGGACGGACGGUGUGGUUAAGAAACUAGAGAGCGGCAUGGCAUACUAGUAGUACUCCAUCAUUACCGACGGAUGUUGGUGCAAGCGAAAGGGGCUUGCAUUCCUUAAUCACGAGGUCUUGGAUUUGAAAUUUAUGAGAAUGGAAAAGACAAUGUUGGGAGAGUUUUCCAUUACAAGGGAUCUGAUGCGGUUUAAAUAGGAUUAAUCGUAGAUCGUGAAAUGGAUGCAAAUGCCUGCGGGUUAUACAAAAAAAAAAAUAGUACUCCACCAUUUAACCCGUCAUUGUUUAAUACGAACUAUUGAAAUAGGGCUAUUUUUGUGAUUUUUGCUAUAUUAUUUUCAUGUAUUUGCAUGAAAUGAACGGUGUGGUCCUGUUUCACAGUAAUUAAUUAAUGUAUCAGUUUUUGUGACGUGAUGUAUAUGAGAUAAAAAAAAAAUUACUGAGAAAUAAAAAAUUGAUUGGGAAUCGUAAUUUUCAUGCAAUCAAAAUAAUAUUCGAAAAGAAUAAUGUUUCCAUCCAAACACGCUCGACCGGCAGAUACAGCUUUCAUUUUUUGGAACCAAUCCUUUAUUUGGUUCGUUCCUGGGGGUCAUUUUUCCAGAAUAGAGCAAUAGAAAUUACGUUCAUCGGCUAGAAAACAUGUCUGCGGUACGUAACGCAAUUUGUGCUGCAAGAGAGGCAGCUUGCUUUUACUGUUUGGGGGUCAUGCAUGGCGUGCCCAAAGGCAUCGUAAUGUCAUAUUGGAGGGUAAAUUGUCUUACCGUAAUUGGUAAUGGGCACUCUCCUAUACCGUAUGUUUUGUGUCAAAUUAAGUAAUCUUUUUUUUUGGCUUGGGUGUACCCAAUUCAGCUUUCUACUGUAGCCAAUUACAACUCAAAAAGGAGUGCAGGCCUCAGUCUGGCAAGUUCAAAGAUUAAAUUGCAGUCCCUCGCCAAGGGGCCCUCUCCGAUUGAAUCUGGCAGCUUACUGUCCCUUUCAUCCUUGUUAUCGUUUGCAUCUCUAUCAUCAUUAGGGACAAUUCUAUGGCUGAUACACGCAGAGAGAGAGAAAGUGAUAGAUAUACAGCGAACAGUAGAGCCCAUCCCAUCCGUAUUGCUUAAGAAUAACAAGAACAAAACAGAAGAAAAUAUUUCUGAAAUUCGAGUUACCAACACACAAAAUUCGCAAAAAAAAAAGGUAAAAACUGUGAAAUAUUAGCAAAGGUCAUGCAGGCCGCUGUUUGCUCGUUUCUGCAUCUUCUGUCUAGGCAUUUAUUUCGGCUUUUAGGCCGUGAAAGGGGUAUAGACGACCCUAGAAACGAAGAAAAUGGGAAAAAGAACCGAGUGAUCUGAGGAAGGGGAAUAGUAAAUGCUCCCAGUUAAUGAUACAAAGCUGGCAGAGAAAGUGAACUGCAAUUCCUCUCUGGCAUAAAACUUAAAAAAAAAAAAGAGAGACAGAUGAAACAACUUUGCAUUACAUUAACUUUAAAGGACCUUCUUUCUGUGUUUUACAGUCAUCCUCGUUUUGGAGACCUACUUUUAUCUCGAAGAAAGAUGUCAAGUGAGCGACACAGCAGACUGCAGAGUCGACGGAGCAUCCCAACUUCUCGUACUCUUGCCCAGGAUUUACGACUAAUUCUUGAAUUCAUUGGAUGAGGCAAAGGUAAUCUCUCUCUCUCUCUACAUAUAUAUGCAUGGAUGGAAUGAAUGAAACUUCUUCAAUACCCUGAGUUGCACUUUUUCUUUUUCUUUUUUAAAAAAAUCUUUCCACGGUCAUUAAAUUGGGAUAUUCAGACCGUUUCGAUUUGUUUGGAACACAGAAACAACCUGAGGUGAAAAGACCAAGCCUAGCUGCUUAAUCUUUGGUAAUGCGCGCAUGUUUGAGACCUAAACAUCGAAGGGCACAAAUAUCCUAGUAUUUUGAGUUCAUCCGCUUGCUCUCCAGCCGACAUGGAAUCUGGGACAAGUAGGAUUGAGGCUUUGAUGCACAUUAGAAUUUGGGCCAAGUCGUUCAUCAGUUAAUAUUAGUAGCAAUCGGGAAAGAGCACUUCUCCUCGUACUCCCUCCGUCCCACUUUGAUAGUCCUGUUUUCCUUUUUUGUCUGUCCCAAAUUACAGUCCACUUUCCAAUUGAAGAAUGUAGUUGUAUUUUCAUUUUUCUUAAAUACCCUUAUUCAAUACAAGUUGUUGUUGCUAUAAACCUACCCCAUUUAAUGAGAGUUGAUUCUUUUUUUACCAUCAAUUCAAGUUCCCAUAAAGUUGUACUCUAUUUAAUGUGAGAGUAUUUUAGGAAAAUAGCAAUCUAAAUUUAUUUUUCCAACAAAAUUAACUACUUUUUCUUAAACUGUGUGAAAAAAGAAACAGAACUAUCAAAGUGGGACGGAGGGAGUAUAUUCUUUUUCAAGGAAAUAAGACGAAUUACACUAGUAGCUAGGCGAGAAAUUUUUGGGACGCGUUGAUUCCAUCAUUACGGGUCAUUAAUUUGCUGAUAAGUAGGUUCACUUUUUGAUAAAAAUCAUACAUUAUGUUACAAAAGUGUGCCUUAUUCAAUGUAAGUAGUUGUUACUAUAAAUCUACCCCAUUUAAUGAGAGUUGAUUCUUUUUUUACCAUCAAUUCAAGUUCCCGUAAAGUUGUACCAUAUUUAAUUUGAGGGUAUUUUAGAAAAAUAGCAAUCUAAAUUUACUUUUCCAACAAAGUUAACUACUUUUUUUUAAACUAUGUGAAAAAAGAAACAGGAUUAUCAAAGUGGGACGGAGGGAGUACACUAUACUAUCACCGUUGGAUGCACGACACAUAUGCAAAAUUUGGAUUUCAAAUUUAAACUCGAAUUAUAUAUCAUGCAUUCAAUCCAACGGUGAAAGUGUAGCACUGUCAAUGUAUAGAAGAUUAAUUCAAAAAGAAUUGCAAAAUUUUGAAGCCGGUGAGUUUUAGGGGCUUUUCCCGGGGAAUUGCCUAAUACUACCCAACUCCAUAUAUAUAUAGGAAGCAAAGUCCUGCCUUAGGUGACUAUAGACAUACAUAGAUGUGACCUAACUAACUACAAUCACCAAUUAGCACAUUCACGACCAAGUCAGCAUAACCAACCACGUAGUUGAGGUGCAGAACCAAAUCACCAAUCAUCUUUGAGCUGCGGGCUGCCCCUACUUAACUAGAAGUGAUUUGCCGCUUUCAUUACCUUAUUAUUAAGCCCUUUUUUUUUUUCCUGGUUAUCUUUUCAGAGCAAUUACUAGUAAUGUAACGUAUGAUCAACAAUUUUACACCCAGCAAUCUGGUCAACUGAUCAUGCUACUAUGAUAAUGCAACAGAUUCUUGCUUGCCGAGCGAAGUAAGACAUAUGAUAACUGCGAUUUUGUAAAGCUGGGAAAAUUGAAAAUUAAAAGAAAAAAAUUGUGGGCUGAAGCCUGACGCCUGCCGGGAGGCCCUCGAAUGCAAAGAUUAAAAAGGAUAAGAGGCCGACCGUAGAUCAUAAGACGUGAAUAGUACUAGAUUCUGAUCCCACAGUCAUUCGUGUCUGGGAUCUGGGGACCAUUCAUUCAUCUCUGGCAAUAAUAAUAAUGGAUGAUUGGAUUACCCUCAAAAUCUCACUGCUUCGCUCUUCUCUCGAGAUGCAUGAUCCCUCCCCCCACAGCCAACUGCACUGCACUGCUCAUCUUUUUACGUUUUACCCCUACUGCUGCUCUGAAACCCGUCUCUUCUUCUACCCCUCUCAACUAAAACCCUUACAAAAGAUCCCCCCACCACCACCACUACUACUAGUUAACUGCGUUUAUAAUCGGCACUCAUAAAUGCCUAACCUCUCCAUACAGAGAAGAAAAGGGAAAAGAAAACAAAAAGAUCGAUUAAAGACUUUUGAGGUAAUUAUAUAUUGAUCCUCAAAUUAAAGAAGAAAGGAGAAGAAUAUAUAAUUUGUUGAAAUAUGAAUGUGGUUUUUUGACUGCUUGAAUUUCUGGUACCAUCAUUUCAUUUUCGUGCAUCUCUUGCCUGAGGAAGGACUCCAACGCUUGCUAUAGGUUGUUGAAGGGCUUAAAGAUUAUGUCAGAAUAUCAUACCAUCUGCUGCUGCUGCUGCCGCUGCUAGUAUUUUGUGUUUUUCUUCUACAUGGCAGCAAAUCUGACAUCCAAGAAAUACCGUACUCAUGCCCAACUUUAAACAUGCGCAUGUGAAUCAUAACAGAUAGCUUUCUACACUAGUACUUCUUCUGUUCUCCUCUUUCCCCCACUUUCACAAAUAUAAAAUCCAAGGGGAAGCAACAUGACAGUACCCCUCUUCCGAUCCCCCCAAGGCUAACAGUUUAACGUUCAUAUUUCCAAAAGAGAAGGGAAUUACGAAUCAGUAGUUAGUAUUUCUUUGCCCUUUAUACGUCCGGAGCUUCUUCCGGUAAAGAAUGGUAAAAUUCCCGUUUCUGUUGUCGAUCGUUCAAAGUGCUGCUCUGCCUACUGAACUUAAUACUACUAGUUGCUUUAAUUUUGCAUCCAUGCUCAUAACACAUUUGGUUUGGUGUAAAGCAGCUCAAGAGCAACGCAUAUAUUUUUUACUUGUACAUUUGAGUUUUUCAGAGUGAGAUAUUGAUGUAUACAUAUAUAUAUAUAUACAUACAGACACCAUUUUCAACUUACUCCAUGCAGGAAAGUUGAGUGGUCCUGAUCCAUUUUUCCUUUCUCUACAAAGUGGGCGUUUUAAAGGAGCAGUGCAGAACUGGUCCCUCACCUACCAAGCACAUAAUGUAAACUGCAAUACCAUAUGCUGCUACUAAUCUAUAAGAAUAUAUAUAUAUAUAUGCUUCCCUCUACUUAUGCAUGCAUAUAUGCAUAAUACACAUCAAAGAUGACGCUGUUGCUUUCACUAGUUUUUACCCAGACACCAUUACUUUUCAAGAUUGAUCAAACUUUCCUAAUUGACACUAGUUCUGCUGCCUACUACUGUAACUUGGCUUGUCAAAUUCUCACCUCACUUCAAGUAACAUUUGUUUGCUUAUAUGCGAACAGAAGAAGACACGACCACGCAUGCCACUGCUUGCUAGCGAAAUGAACAAGACGACACAGUAGCAUGAUUCCCUAUCAUGAUUCAUGACCAGCCAAUUAAAGUUGCAAUUACUUAAUUCAUGACCACUCCAUCCAUCUCACUAAUUAAAUCUAACUUCAAACUCAAUGCAUAGACAUAGACAUAGACACAAAUAGCUUCUGAUUUUUAUUAUUGGUGCCCGUCCUAUUGAUUGGUGUUCUUAGAAUUAGGGCCACGUGAACAAAUUGAGUCCAAUUAAUAUCUGUCAAUUCAAGCUGCGUGAGUGAAUGAAUGCACGUAAACUAUAUAGUGGCCAUUAAUUCAUAAGGUCUGAAUACUCUUCUUGGCUAAAAUUCAUUCUCUCUCCGCUUAAACUUGGACUUAAACAAAAUACUAUAACUACUCCUAGCUACUGUAUUUGAUCAAAAAAUAAGUAAACAAAAGAAAAAGAAGAGGAAAAUCAAUGUCGACUACUGAAGCAGCGCAGCGGGUCUAAAAGUUUUUGCAACUUCAAUUGGAAUUCAAGCAGCUAGAGUUGCUUCUUCUUCUUCUUCUUCUUCUUUUUCCUCAUUCAGCUGUCAAUACAAGCAUCAAUUAAAGGCCAACUUUCCGAACAAACGUGUUCGAUGGUCCCCCAAGGCAAAGGUUGUUGAAAUAGAAACCCCGGCCUUUGCUUCCUUAGAAGCAAAUUAAUUUGUCUCUCAGGACCAAAUGAUACAUACAUACAUACAUACAUAUGUAUGUAUACAUAUACCUAUAGUUAGUACGCACCAGCGGUGAGUGGUAUUUGCCUGCCAGAAAACAACGUCCGGAGUGACAUUGCACUUGCAGAAGAAGGUCACGCACGACUUUGUUAUCAAGGCAAUGAUAGCUCAGCAUGCGUGAAGAAAAUUUGAUAAGAUUUUGACUAGCACAUUAUUUUAUCUGUCAGAUGCCAAGGGUACACGUGGCUGUCCAUGAGCCACUGCUUUCUUUCCUGGGGUUUAUUUUUCCCCCCUUGUGCCGUGGUCGGUUGAAUUCCGGCAUCUUCUCUUCACCAUCGCACAACUUCAUUUAAGUGUGUUCUCUCUGCAAAUGUUGAAAAUUGAGCGUCCUCCUUCAAAACCUUCCCCACAAGUUGUUGAAGAGACAGCUAGGGCUCCGCAGCACUGAAUCCAAAGAAAAUUAAGCUGCCAUUCUUUCUUCUCUUCAUGCUUUGCAAUUGGCAACACACCUAGGAGCUGCUUGCUUGACUGUCGCUGCGGUAAGUGAGAUUUUUCUCUCAUGCUUAUCAUUCCUUAUCGUGCACUGCAGAUUAAGAUUACUUGAAGCAUAGCUUCGGUAGAGGGCUUCCGCUGCCCGCGUGGCCCCUUUUCAUUUCCUGCCAUAAGCCGUCUUCAGCAACCGCACUCAGCAUAUUGUCGCAUCACCAUGGAAAUAUUAAUAUUUGGUCUUUACCCUACUUAAAUUAUUGAUUGGCAUCCUAACAAUGCAGACAAAUAUUUUUUGCACUUUUUAUGUUGAGGGUUGUUUAAUUAAUAGCAAUGAUUGCUCGUAUAUUUAGCUUUCUUCUUUUAGGUUGCGGCGCAGAAAACUGUUUCUGAGAAUUAAGUCCCUAAUUUCGUGAAAGGAGAGUUGCUUCCUUCAGUUACAUUCCUUGGGAGCACUAGUCGAACUGGUUGGCUUGCAUUUUCGGUAUUUGACCCCAAUUAUCAUGAGAAACAAAAGAUGAUUGCCAGGGAAAUAGAUGCGGCGGCAGAUGUUACAGCAAAACAAGAAGGCAACACAGCAACAGAUGAGAAGACUUCUAAUUAUAAGGCUUCAAUAUCCGGUACUUCUGCAGCAGCGGCAUCAUCAUCAUCAUCAUCAUGGUCAAGGUUGAAAGAUCCACGGAUUGUGCGGGUGUCAAGGGCAUUUGGAGGUAAAGACCGGCAUAGCAAAGUCUGCACUGUGAGAGGGCUUAGAGACAGGCGUGUUAGACUUUCUGUUCCCACAGCUGUUCAACUUUAUGAUCUUCAAGACAGGUUAGGGCUUAGUCAGCCAAGUAAAGUUGUUGAUUGGUUGUUGAAUGCCGCCAAGCACGAGAUAGAUGAGCUGCCCCCGCUGCAAAUGCCUCCCGGAAGCUUUAACCAUAGUUUUCAACCAGUUUGGGCUACUCAUCAUCCUGUAGUUGGAGCUCAUCAAGUAACCAAGGAUCAAGGACUUAGGAUUGGUGCUAGUAUCAAUUGGGGGGAUCACGAUCAUCAUCCUAGUGAACCAUCAGGGUCGAAGACGUGGGAUUCGGAUGCCAUUUUGAGGCCUAAAUCCAAGGAAUUAAUCGCAAGGUCAGGGGAUUCGUCCGAGGAUAAAGAAACUUGGACAAGAUCAAGUGAAGAGGGGAAGCAACAUAGCAAUAAUUAUGAAAGCACUAGUCAUGGCGCUGCAUAUUUUUCAUCCAACAAUUUUUUCUCAAGACUUGGCCACUCUACUUCACCAAGCCUAGGGUUGCUGAAUAGCACAGUGCUGCCAUACAAUUCUUUAAUCAGAUGGGAUCCUUCAAAUUUGUCUUUGUCACAAUCUGGAAGCCCAUCUGGGUUGACUCCAGUACCCCAACCGGAAGAUUUCCACAACUUCAGCGUUGUGCCAUUGCCAUCAACGAUGUCCGUGCCAUCAGGCGGACCUCAGGUUCUCGUGUACCAGCCUGCUAGUAGCAUAACGCAGUCUUAUUUUCCUUCCCACAUUGCUCCUCCUGUUACAGUGGAUUACGCCCAGAAACAAAUCGAGUUCCAAAUGCUGAACUCGACUACGGAAAAUCCACUCACGAGUUCCCUAGCACCACCUGUUAGUGACUCUACAAGCCAACAUGCUGCUGGUAGACCCUUUCGCAUACUAAGUACAACCACCAAUCUCCUCCCUUCACAAAAUGAUCGCGAAAGCAAGCAAGACCUUGACAAUGACUUCAGUUCAAGGUAAUUAAUCUCAAACCUCUAUAUAUAUUACAAAAGUUUGUAACUGCUUCAGAACCAAAGCAGAUAUAUGUAUGGCUGCAUGAUUAGGAGUAAAUUUGUGAUCAAUGUAUACGUAUAGUAUUUUAGAGCAAAACAUUUUGAGGGAUCAAAUAGGCCUUCGUGGGGGUUAUAUGUGCAUUUGAUGACAAUCUAUUGCUUCAUGGAAAGUUCAAUUUGAGAUGUUAACAAUUGUUGUCAUCACUGCCAUGAUCUCAUGAUUGAUUGUGUAAGCUUUCAUUGCUUGAACUGCCGAGAAACCCUUCAAAGAGAUUUACAUUUGGACCCUAUUCAAUUGGUGCGACAGAUAUUUCAUGUUUGAUAAGAAGAUGCAAAACUGGAUUUUUAUUCAUAUCGACCGAGGAUACAUGAAUGCCUCAGUAGAGAGAGUGAAGGACCAUUAAUUAUGGUUAUCUUGUCGGUCGAUCAUACCCAUUAGUAUCUGAUAUGUUGUUACGUUGCAAAGUUUCUGAAUGGUGUUUGUAUACAUUAUUCAUCUUGUUAUUUUGCCAAGCAUUUGUACAACGAAUAUGCUAAGCACUCAAUUGGUAGAUCCUCUUUUCAUGGCUGAUCUAAUUAUUUACUUCGUAGACAUGUAGUUCUGAUGUUCUUCAGACUUUUCAACUUUGUUUGGGGAAAAAGAGCAGCGAAACUUUCUUUCGAGAUUGGUACUCGUUUUUGCAGCCUCACAAGAAAGUUUGGCCAAUGUGCAGAGACAAAAAGACGUAUACGUGUUAAAUGAAAUGCUAGUCUUUUCAACCAUCUUCCACACUGAUUUAGGGAUCUUUUUUUUUUUAUUUUGGGCGGGGGGGGGGGGGAUAAUCCUCUGUGUUUUGACUUAGUUAAACCCUAGUACAAAAACCAAGUGAAGAGAGGAGAUAAGCAUAUUGCAUUUGUUUUGAGACUAAUUUGUGUGAAAAAAGUAAAGAAUGAGCAAAGAUGGGGCUGUCGCGAUUAAGAACAAAAAGAAGUAGAAAAGGGUGUGUUUUGUGGAACAAGACGGGAUAGAGAUUGCAGUAUAGUAGCUAGUGGUGUGUAGCUAUCUCUGCACGAGAUCCAACAUGAGUAUCUGCUAGUGUUAGAAGGAGGACCAGCUGAUUAAGGACCCCUUAAAAGAGAGGCAUCAAAAGAAAAGAUGGGAGGGUUUGUGGUCCUCAACCAAGAACCUUGGGGAGGACAAGGGAGAAGCCGAAAGAAGAAGAGAAGAAGCCCGUGGUACAAAUACAAUACAAAGUUUACUUAGGGUUCGAUCGGAAGCUUUGCUCUUUUCUUUUGAUCGAGAGGAUCAUGUUUGUUAAAUAAGGGACCACAUGGAAAGCUUUCGCAGGAGAUCCUUCACCGGCCAAUUUUGUUAGUCCACUGGUCCUAUUCUUAUUUCAUACGCUGCCUAGCAAGCCAAAUGACUUUAAUGGCUUAGUCAUUUUCUCUUCGAGUUUCUGUAAUUUAUUAGGGAUAACAACCGCUGAAAUAUUCACACCCAUGAAAGCUAUCUGUGUAGCAUUUCUCCUACUUCUUGACUUUCUGAAGUUCUCUGAUAAGGAUAAGACCCUCCGGGAAUCUUGACAGCCCAAAGAUAGUAGAGAACAAUGGAAACACGCCUAACGUUAUAUACAUUGGACAUCUUGCAGUUAAUCCAUGUUAUUCUUUAUUCUUUUUUUUUUUGUUUUCCAGAGACGAACAUCUGACCAAACAGGUGUAGUACGUAUCUAUCUGAAUUUUUUGAAACAAAUCCACACAUUUUAACGAGGUAAUUGGUGGGAGGCCAAGUUUUAAAGGCUUGAUAGUCGGUGGGGUUGGUGGUUAGUUAAUCCUUGUUAUUCGGACUUCCACUCUCUAGAGUUUUUGAAUCAUUGGUCAAAGAUGAGAGUAAUAGAUCUUCUUUGCGUUGCAUUUUCUGCAUAUUUGGUGCCCAUCUAGAGUUCAUGAUGUGAAGCCUAUAUUGCGAUGUCAAAUGUGUAAUGACUGAAUGCUUCAAAGAUUAAAUAAUUUUGUGUCAAAAAACUACGACAAGUAAAAUGAGAUAUCGAUCAAAGCAUGGUGAUUUGUAAUGUACGUGCUACAUCGAUGACAAAAGUCACAGCUUUUCCCCCGAUUUUCUAUUACUUGCACGUCACAAAGACACAGUUCGAGUGCAAAAGCUCAUUUAACAAUUUCACUAGAGAAGAAGGGGAUGUUUGAUCCAUUCUUGAGGUGCAUAUAAAUACUAUAUAUCUUUCAGGUGUUUAUUGCCCCUAUUUUACUUGUUAAUUUGCUUUUGGGUUAAAAAUUUGAGAACAAGGUUUGCUAUAUAGGAAUGAAGAAAGAAUUGAGAAUUCCUAUAUUCAGCCACUCUUUUUGAUCGUCCCUCGUUAAAACUUAAGGACUUUUCACCAAAAAUUCGUUAUGUCAAAUUAAGCCACAAAAGAAUACCAAUAUACAACUUUUCACAAGUGUACUAGAAUGGUUGAUUGUCUCUUGUAAUUGAUUUGCUGAGAAGAAAAGCAAGUCAGUUAAGGAAUAUGUAUUUUUUUUUUCCCUUUUUCUAUGGUCACAUGAGGGGAAAAUAGACUACAACGAUCAAAUCCCAUUUUAGGUAUCCCUUCAUUGCUACAUCCUUAUAUAUUUGGCAUCCUAACUAGUUAGCUUAUAUAUAUAUAUAUAUAUACACACUUCUCAAUUGGUUGGUUGUAUGGGUAGGAAUGGAGGGAUUUUUGUCGGUGUUUAUAUCUCUCAGUAGACAGGCUGAUUAAAGCUUGACGAUAUUGCCCAAGCUAAAGCUAAAGCUAAAGCACAGCAUUACACAUCUUUCAUUCUCGAUGAAGCGAAGCUUUAUGAUGGUCGCAAUACUUUAGAUGCUUAACAAUUUUCAUUUCCUUGACACUAAUGAGAGGAAACAGCUGCAUGCAAGCCUACGUCGAUUAUGUCUUACAAUUUACAUGCUAUAUGUACGUAAGCAUAUAUACAUGCAUAUACAUGUAUGGGCAGUUUUGCUUUUCUUGAAUUUUUUUUAAAUUAUUUUUUUUAGCAAUGGAGAACAAAUUAAGAGGGAUUUCAAUACCCCGACCUUUGAGGUUAAAGUAUGUUAACUUUGCCCAGGCUGUGGCAAUAAGCUCUUGGUAUUAGAAAAAGCUGAGCUGUGGGGUGUAUGUAAUGUUAUAAACCCUCGAACGCAUUCUAACAAAACUAAUUGUGCCCUACCAAUCUUCUUUUGGUGCCAGUCCUGCCUUUCUUUUUAUUCAUUUUCAAAGCACAGACAACUUAACAGAUCGACUGCAGAUCGUGCUUUUAAUACGGCUUCGCAUGCCUAAGAAAUUUUCACCUCCUAUGUUGCAUAUAUGAGAAGAGAGCCCAUUUGUGCCUGCUCCUGUAACCAUGGUUUUCCAAUGUAACUAAUGUGCCUUUAUGUUAAAGUCUACAGAUCACUGCUAAUUUUUUAAAGGGGGGAAAAUGAUAACCAUGAGAUGAGAUAAGACUUUCUUGAAUUUGUUUUUGAGUUACUUCAGAAAUCUAGAUUCUAGAAGUGAUUCUAUGAGGUUUAAGAGCCCAACGACAUGGAACCCUUGCUAACAAAUGGGGAAAAAAAAAAAAAGGGCAGACAAAGAAUUCAACGGUUUUUAAAAGAAAAAUAAAAAAAAGAUAAAAAAGUGAUUGAAAAUAGUUGUGAUUGAAAAUAAAAAGAUAAAAAUGUUCUUCUUAGACAAUAAAGAAUUACGAUCGCGUAGAAUAGAUUAAUCAAUCCAAAAAAAAAAAAAAAGGUGAUUAGAGAACAAGGGAAGUAACCACCAGCCCAAAAGGCUAGUGGCCACCAUCAAGCCUUUAAGACUUGAUAGGGCCCUUACCUCCCACUAAUUGCCACAUUAAAAUGUGGAUUUGGUUCAAAAAAUCCAGACGAGUACCUAGUGCAUCCGUGUGAUCCGGUAGUAGUUCAGUCCCCUUCAAAUUACUUCUGAAUCUCCUUAUGUCCACCCCCUUCCCUAGUAUAGGAUAGAUUAUGAUAUACUACAGUUAUGGUUUCUAAAAAAAAAAAGAGAGAAAGAGAGAGAACAAGGGAAGUAGAUUUGUUCCUUGAAUAAUAAGAGAUCCGAUGAAAUAAUAAUGUCCUUUUUCACUAUUGAAGGCACCUAACUAGAUCCUUUCCAGACUUUGGCAAUUGUGACGGAACCUCGUCUCUUGGACCUUACUCUAACAUCUCUAAGUGAUCCUCGCCAGUCUUAAGAUUGUACUUGCUCCAGAAACUAUAAAUAAAUAAAUUAAAAGUCUUAGCCCUCAGAUUCUACUGAAUUACGUCUUCUUGCAUCGUAUAAUUGAAGAUGGUGUCUUGACUUGCUGCAGCCCAAUAGACGUGUGGUAAAACUCACGGACACCGACCGAGAGACGAAAGCAACAGGAUAACCCAGGCUAAGGCCCAAGCCCAACCCAACAGAAAAGUUCAAAAACAGAAUGGAAGGAGAGCUCCCGGCGAGGAUCGAACUCGCGACCUUUCGCUUACGAAGCGAACGCACUACCACUAUGCUACGGAAGCCGGUGUUGUCCUCGUUUUCCUAGUCAUUUGACUAGGGACAUUUACAGGAUACGUAAGGAAAAAAAAAUUUGUCACGCUUUGGGAUGAAAACUGGUGAGGUAAGAAUUAUUUUCAUUUCUUUUCCACAUUUUGCUUGCAAUCCAACGUGUAGAAAUUGGGUUCACGCACACGAGAGUUUAGAUAUCUCCCACCUAAAACAUAUUAUUCAUAUUUAACUAAUCAAAAUCUACUGCAAAAAUUAAGCCCUUACUUGGUGAGACACUUCUAAUCCUUUGCGCCUACUUCUAAUCCUUUCUCAUCAUCAUCCAUAACAAACUCAUAUUAUUGAUUGAUAGAGGAAGAGAUUCAAAGCGGUGAAGUUAGGAGAUUGACAGAGGGAGAGAAGGAAUAGUUUGGCAGUACUGGAAAACUGCUUUAUUUCAUGUUCAUGAAAAGUUAGAUGACAGAGAAAAUAAAUAAUUAACAGUAUAUAUGAAGUUAUCAAAUUUCAUAGAAGAGACAGUCACAAAUUUACUUUGACUGAUCAGUGUAAACUCAUCUUACAUUAACGGCGUAGAAAAGAUUUAAUUUGAAAUUAAAAUUUCAUUUGAAAUGGCAAAAACAUCGUAAAAUUGAACACGUACACAAACAGGAAAAAUAAUACUUGUAUCCUUUAUCACGUUAACACUUACCAAAAUUUAAGAAUUUCAAUACAUAUAUUAUGAAAAAACAAAGACUAUGUUGCCUUGUUUUUUCUCUUUUUGGCCUUUCAAUAAAAGUUUUAAACAUUAAUUUUCUUUUAAAUUUUUGUGUCACGAGUUUCAAUUUAAUUGUGUAAAAUCACAGCUUUUUUCUGAACCAUGUACUUUAAAGGUACAUGAUUGAUUAUAAACAUAUCAAAAGAAGAGAGAAAUAUAUGACAAUUGUAAAAUUAUCAACCACCACUUAAAUUGUGAUUAUUAUUUCAUGAAAAGAAUAUAUCUGUUUCCGUAGGAUAGUAUAGUUAAGUGUUGGAGGGAAAUACUAGUAAGUGUGUUUGGAUCGCUGAAUUAUUUUUUUUAAUAUUUCGCUUGCACCAUAAACAUAAUUUUCAAUCUACUUUUUUAUAUUUUUAACUAUCUUUUUAUCUCACAUACAUUACAUCAUAAAAAAUAUUAAAUUAAUUAUUUCAAAUAAUACUCUAUCCAAACACACUUAAUAGUACUUAAUGUGUCUGAAUAGGAUAUUAUUUGGACAUUUAUUUUGUAAUUAUAUAUAUUUUUUAUAAUUUGAUAUAUGUGAGGUAAAAAUAAUUAUAAUCUCGUAAACGCAACCGAAAAGGUGUUUGUAAUCCAUAUAUUAAAAAAAAAAACCAUGUAGUAGUGCAUGUCUGAAUACUCUUUUCAUUAAACACGCGUCACAUCAUGACCGGCCGUGUCCGGCUUCUUGCAAUCCCAAUCUCACCGCCCCAAUCCUCGCCGCUUCUCCAAUUCUCCGUCCAUAAAUACAAAACCCCUUAUCUAAACCCGACGUCCCUUCUCCUUAUGCCGGCGCCCUUUUCCCCAUCUCUCCCAAGGCUCGAACCCGGAAAAGGAAGAUAACUCCCCCCCCCCCCCGAAAAAAAAAGGUCCAGGUUUUUCUCUUUCAAUUAGCCCUUCUACCUGCUUGUCAAGUAAUAAUCUUUUAGUACGAGACGUAAUCUUCGGGUCUGGUCUGGUCAGAGCGUUACUCGGGGUGUGCUUUUUGAACUGAGCUCAAGCUCUACCUCGGUUGCCGCCAAUAAAACCCUAGAAAACUGUCCAUACGUAUAUUUCUGAUCUAUUUUACCUUUUACCUCCUCAAAUUUUUUGAAUUUCUUAACUCAACAAGUCCUGUGGAAGAAUCUAGGGUUUUUCUAGGAAUGGUUUCAAUUUUGAUUUCUCCUCCUUUGUCUGCAAAAUGGAUGGAAUUUUGGGAAAUAUAGUUUGGAUGAAGUGAUAUGAAGUGGCGGUGCCGAAUAUGAGCGAUGGAGGUGGGGAGAAUGUAAAAGAGGGGGAAAAUAAUUUGAAUCAUCUCCAUAGCAAGAAGAGUAGGUCACGAGCUGACGACUUCGGCCUUUCCAUUGCUAAAGUUGCUGUGGCUCAGAUAUGCGAGGCUGCAGGGUUCCAGGGCUUCCAGCGCACCGCUCUGGACACCCUGUCUGAUGUGGCUGUUCGGCACAUUUUAGAGAUCGGGAAGACUGGGAAUAUGUUUGCAAAUUUAGCGGGUAGGAGUCAGUCUAAUGUGUUUGAUAUAAUUCAAGGGCUGGAAGAUUUGGGUUCAAUACAGGGAUUUUCGGGUGCUUCCGAUGUUGAUCAUUGUCUUUUGGGUUCAGGGACUGUGCGGGAGAUGGUGCGGUAUGUUGGAGAGGCUGAGGAGAUCCCAUUUGCUUAUUCACUUCCUGGAUUUCCUGUUUUAAAAGAACGGGAGCCUGGCAGGACUUUUGAGCAGACUGGAGGGAGCCCACCUGCUGAGCAUAUACCACCUUGGUUACCUGUAUUUCCAGACCCUGAGACCUAUGUCAGCCUGCAUAAAAUAGAUGAGAAAAUGGCACAGAUUUGGGAGGACGAAGUCGGGGGGCCUGUUGAAAAGAGAAGAGAGUUGGAUAAAACUUUUGCAAAUUUGCAGCAGCGAAUGGCUUGUAACGGGACUCAGCCAUCCGUAGAGGUUGAUUUUGGGAAUGAAGCUAAAGAAAAGGGAUUGGUGGAAUGUAAUCCAUUUCUUACUCCACCUCUGCAGCAUGGGGAGAAGGAGGUGUCUUUAGUUCUUCCUCCUGCUAAACUCUCGGACGAAGUCUUCCUGCAGAGUGCUAACCUUGAAGUUCCGGUUAGUCACAUUUCUGCAAUGGAGACAUUUGCACCUGGCAUUGAGGCGGUUAAGAGUGGAACAUUUGAUUUCGAAGAUGGGAGGAAAAAGGUUCCUUUGAACGGGAGACCAAAUGUGCGAUUUAAGCUUGGAGGUGGCAAAAGGUGCUUGCGUGUGGCUAUAAGCUCUCAGAACCAGGGAAUUGAUAAAAAUUCCACUUGGUUUAGGAAUGACGAUGGGAUGGAUGACAAGAAAAGGCGGGUGGAACAAAUUCUGAAGCCGUCAUACGAAUCUGCAGGAACUGACUCACUUGUAAAUUAGGUGUGUUCAUAUUUGAACUUGUACACUUCUUCAGGGAACUGGCAAUACAUGCUGGUUCCAGGUUAGUUAGAAUGAAUGUAUUAGAGUUGUCUGUAUACAGGACUGUUAGAGACCGAUGUUCCCACAUAUAACAAGUUCUUGGGGCAAGUCAUUCUCGGUUGUCCUCGUGAACGUCUAUCGAUGAUAAUUCUUCGCAGUUGAUAUAAUGUUUCUACGUUUGCUGUGCUGUGCUUUUUUGUAUUUAUGACCUGAUAAUCACAAAGCUAAUUGUUACUGUUUAACUUUUGAAAUUUUUGUCCUUUUAUUCUGAUGAAGUUAUUGUUGCAAGGAUUUCCAUUUUCAUGGGUAUUUUAGGAUUUAAGUGUACUUGAAGAGAUCAUUUCCAUUUUCGUGGGUAUUGCUAGAACAAUGACUUGUCAAAUUGCUAUUGCCACCCCCAGUUUUUCAACAUUUUGUUGGCAUUUUUUGGUGUAUGUAUGUCUCUCUGCAUGUAUUGGAAUAGGUUCCAAUAAUGUACAUUGGCAAAAUCUUUUGCUAGAAGUCUUCCAGAACUAUUAAAAAUUAUAGGAUUUCAUUAACUGAUAAGGAGUUUCUGAUAAUCUCUUUUCCUGAAAAUUUUUGUUUUUCGGCCAUUUUUUCUUGAAACCAACAUGAUAACAGCUAUAACGAUUUUGCUUUCUGUCUUUACAUUGUCAAUGCUACAACUUGGAAAUCCCUUUGUUAGGAUGCUUGCUGAAACUUGAUUUCUCUGGUUAGUACUUGGCUAAAACUGAGCCAUGUUUAUUUGAAAUGUUCCCCACCCCUGCCCAACACCCCCACCCCAAAAAGGAAAAAAAAUUGUUGUGACAGGCGAAAUGGAGCUGCAAAUCCUGUAUUAUGUGAAAGGAUCUUAUAUCGGAUCCCUUGUUUUAGUACCUCUAGUGUCAGUGGCCUUGUGAAAAAAUGUUAGCAUAUACCUGGGAUGAUCUGACUAGAAUGCCCAUAUUUUCUAUUUGAUAGUGAGCAGGCAAGUGUGAGCAAUCCUGACUGGUUUUUUGUCAUACUUUCUGGGGGAAAAAAUGGACGAUCUAGAAGGGAAUAGGACUCAAAUGAGCUUUUAACUUUUUGUAUUGCCGUCCUUUCACGAACCAAAUGAUAUUCCCAGCUAUACACAAGAUUCAUCCACAAGUGCGUAUCUGGAACAUGAAAAGGGGAAAACUCCAUCUCAUGUACGAGGAUGUUUGUAGUUAGACGUAAGAUAGCAUCUUCUUUACAGGAUGGCUGGUGUCUCGUGAGCAAGACUCCUAGCUAUUUGGAACUGAAUUGUGAGAAGUUGCAAGCAAUGGUACCCAUUAAUGGUGGGGAAGAAAGAGAAUGUUAAGAAAAGAACACAAGAUUAACUACUCAUUAGUAAAUGGUUUUACAUUGCCUUCCAGUCCAAUCACACUGCCCCAAAGCCUGAGCAGUAAUUACCUCGGUUAUCAGGUCCUUAAAAAUGAGUCGCUCCAUGUCCAACACCACUGCUGGAAUCAAACUUGGGUAAUCUGCCCAG
rnacentral:lncRNA from 1 species